CCUCCAUCUGUAAAUUCAUAUUUUUAAGAGUUAAAAAUUUAAUACAUGAAUUUACAUAACUAACUCAUAAACAGCUCCUAACCAUAGGAUCAUCACGAGGAUGGUGAUCGAUCCAGAAGGUUAGUGUACGAUCACUUCCUUAAGGUAGAUGUGUCUUGAGUCUACGAUGUGGAGACACCAGAGUGAGAGUAUAGGUAUUCGUUGAGAAUGAGAG
rnacentral:lncRNA from 1 species